UACGUAGGGUCCGAGCGUUGUCCGGAAUUACUGGGCGUAAAGAGCUCGUAGGUGGUUUGUCGCGUUGUUCCGUGAAAACUCACAGCUACACUGUGGGCGUGCGGGCGAUACGGGCAGACUGGAGUACUGCAGGGGAGACUGGAAUUCCUGGUGUAGCGGUGGAAUGCGCAGAUAUCAGGAGGAACACCGGUGGCGAAGGCGGGUCUCUGGGCAGUAACUGACGCUGGAGGAGCGAAAGCGUGGGGAGCGAACAGG
rnacentral:rRNA from 1 species